rnacentral:rRNA from 1 species
GAAAUUAGACCCGAAACCGGGUGAUCUAGCCAUGGGCAGGUUGAAGGUUGAGUAACAUCAACUGGAGGACCGAACCGACUAAUGUUGAAAAAUUAGCGGAUGACUUGUGGCUAGGGGUGAAAGGCCAAUCAAACUCGGAGAUAGCUGGUUCUCCCCGAAAGCUAUUUAGGUAGCGCCUCGGACGAAUACUACUGGGGGUAGAGCACUGUUAAGGCUAGGGGGUCAUCCCGACUUACCAACCCUUUGCAAACUCCGAAUACCAGUAAGUACUAUCCGGGAGACACACGGCGGGUGCUAACGUCCGUCGUGGAGAGGGAAACAACCCAGACCGCCAGCUAAGGUCCCAAAGUAUUGCUAAGUGGGAAACGAUGUGGGAAGGCUCAGACAGCUAGGAUGUUGGCUUAGAAGCAGCCAUCAUUUAAAGAAAGCGUAAUAGCUCACUAGUCGAGUCGGCCUGCGCGGAAGAUGUAACGGGGCUAAGCAAUACACCGAAGCUGCGGCAAUGCCUUUUAGGUAUUGGGUAGGGGAGCGUUCUGUAAGCCGUUGAAGGUGGUCUGUAAGGGCUGCUGGAGGUAUCAGAAGUGCGAAUGCUGACAUGAGUAACGACAAAGGGGGUGAAAAACCUCCUCGCCGGAAGACCAAGGGUUCCUGUCCAACGUUAAUCGGGGCAGGGUGAGUCGACCCCUAAGGUGAGGCCGAAAGGCGUAAUCGAUGGGAAACGGGUUAAUAUUCCCGUACUUCUGACUAUUGCGAUGGGGGGACGGAGAAGGCUAGGUGGGCCAGGCGACGGUUGUCCUGGUUCAAGUGCGUAGGCUUAAGAGUUAGGUAAAUCCGGCUCUUUAUAAGGCUGAGACACGACGUCGAGCUGCUACGGCAGUGAAGUCAUUGAUGCCAUGCUUCCAGGAAAAGCCUCUAAGCUUCAGAUAGUCAGGAAUCGUACCCCAAACCGACACAGGUGGUCGGGUAGAGAAUACCAAGGCGCUUGAGAGAACUCGGGUGAAGGAACUAGGCAAAAUGGUACCGUAACUUCGGGAGAAGGUACGCUCUUGAUGGUGAAGUCCCUUGCGGAUGGAGCUGACGAGAGUCGCAGAUACCAGGUGGCUGCAACUGUUUAUUAAAAACACAGCACUGUGCAAAAUCGCAAGAUGACGUAUACGGUGUGACGCCUGCCCGGUGCCGGAAGGUUAAUUGAUGGGGUUAGCGCAAGCGAAGCUCUUGAUCGAAGCCCCGGUAAACGGCGGCCGUAACUAUAACGGUCCUAAGGUAGCGAAAUUCCUUGUCGGGUAAGUUCCGACCUGCACGAAUGGCGUAAUGAUGGCCACGCUGUCUCCACCCGAGACUCAGUGAAAUUGAAAUCGCUGUGAAGAUGCAGUGUACCCGCGGCUAGACGGAAAGACCCCGUGAACCUUUACUACAGCUUGGCACUGAACAUUGAACCUACAUGUGUAGGAUAGGUGGGAGGCUAUGAAGACGUGACGCCAGUUGCGUUGGAGCCGUCCUUGAAAUACCACCCUUGUAUGUUUGAUGUUCUAACUUAGCCCCAUUAUCUGGGGUGAGGACAGUGCCUGGUGGGUAGUUUGACUGGGGCGGUCUCCUCCCAAAGAGUAACGGAGGAGCACGAAGGUGGGCUAAUCACGGUUGGACAUCGUGAGGUUAGUGCAAUGGCAUAAGCCCGCUUAACUGCGAGAAUGACGGUUCGAGCAGGUGCGAAAGCAGGUCAUAGUGAUCCGGUGGUUCUGUAUGGAAGGGCCAUCGCUCAACGGAUAAAAGGUACUCCGGGGAUAACAGGCUGAUACCGCCCAAGAGUUCAUAUCGACGGCGGUGUUUGGCACCUCGAUGUCGGCUCAUCACAUCCUGGGGCUGAAGUCGGUCCCAAGGGUAUGGCUGUUCGCCAUUUAAAGUGGUACGCGAGCUGGGUUUAGAACGUCGUGAGACAGUUCGGUCCCUAUCUGCCGUGGGCGUUGGAAGAUUGAAGGGGGCUGCUCCUAGUACGAGAGGACCGGAGUGGACGAACCUCUGGUGUUCGGGUUGUGUCGCCAGACGCAUUGCCCGGUAGCUAAGUUCGGAAUUGAUAAGCGCUGAAAGCAUCUAAGCGCGAAGCGAGCCCUGAGAUGAGUCUUCCC